rfam:Stegodyphus mimosarum contig128241, whole genome shotgun sequence.
GCCUUCGUGGUGUAGUGGUCAACAUGCUCGGCGCGUAAUCGAGAGGUCCGUGGUUCGAGUCCCGGCAAGGGCG